rnacentral:lncRNA from 1 species
UCUCUGGAACCAUUGCAAUUCUCUGGUUUCUUUUAGGUGAUUUUGUAUUUAUUUGUCUAUCAUCUUCAUCAGAAAAGAGUCAGCUUCGUUUUGAAUUUCCGAAAGACAUUUCAACAGCAGGGCUUGUAUUCCUGCCUUUCCAAACAGAGGUUUUCUGUAAAGAACUGUACUUUUCAUUCCACGUGUUAGAUAAGCUUCCCUCUUUUAAACUGAUGAGAGCUUUUGCUGAAGAGCUCUCAUCAGGCAACUGGUCGAGCUCCGCCCCAGAAGAGAUCUUUGUUGAUGUCCCUCCAAAAUCAUGUUGGAACUGAGCACCUAGUGUGAUCCUAUUGAGAGGCGGGGCCCAGCUGGGAUAGAUGGGCUGUGCCUUGUGAGAGAGCCCGACAGAAGCCAGCUUCGCCUUUGCAGCCCUCGGCGUCCAGUGUGAGGCACCAUCUGUGAGGAAGGAGCCCUUGGCAGCCACUACAUCGGCA